GUGUUCACUUCGGCAGCACAUAUACCAAGACUGGAAUGAUACAGAGAUUAACACGGCCCCUGCAGAGUAAUGACACACAAAUUCGUGGAGCAUUCCACAUUUUU